ACCUUGCGAGAUGUGGCAGCGAAAUGUUCAAGUUUUAAAGAUGCACAAUGAAAACAGUGGCAACUGUCAGCUGCAAUUUGUCUUGAGCCCCACGUUUGAAACGGUGUGGAAUCGAUAGCAAUUGGCAUGCAUAGAGCGAGGGUAGAGAGAAAGAGUUGCGGGAGGAGA